rnacentral:lncRNA from 1 species
GACUACUGCUCCUUUUAUUACAAGAGUGACGAGACGGUUCAGAAGGACGAGGAACUCCAAUCCUGGUGGAAGGAACUCGUGGAGGAGGGACAUGGCGACAAGAAGGACGAGCCCUGGUGGCCUAAAAUGCAGACUGUGAAGGACCUAACAGAGACAUGUACGAUCACCAUCUGGAUCGCGUCUGCUCUCCAUGCGGCUGUGAACUUCGGGCAAUACCCUUACGCAGGGUACCUCCCGAACAGGCCCACCCUCAGCCGUCGCUAUAUGCCCGAGGAGGGUACUCCCGAAUUCGAAGAGCUCAGGCAAAAUCCUGACAAGGCUUUCCUGAAAACUAUAACAGCCCAGCUUCAGACACUUCUAGGAAUUUCAAUCAUAGAGAUCCUGUCGAUGCAUUCUACUGACGAGGUGUAUCUUGGGCAGAGAGACACUCGCGAGUGGACAGCGGACGCUGAGCCGUUGGAAGCGUUUGAGAGGUUUGGGAAGAAGCUGGGAGAAGUCGAGGAAACAAUUAUCAGGAUGAAUGGGGACAAGAGGUGGAGGAACCGGGUCGGGCCGGUCGAGAUUCCUUAUAUGCUGCUUUACCCGACCAGCGAAGGCGGAGUGACUGCCAAGGGAAUUCCCAACAGCGUCUCGAUCUAAACUUUCGCAUGCAUACAUGUUUCUUUUCUUGUUUGUUCGUUUUUAAUUAUUCUUUUGUUAUGGGAUGAAAGCUAUUGUAAGCGCGAAAUAUGAAUAACCACAAUACAAAUAAAGCAUAAUAAGCGUUUGUCAAGUUUUGGGAUUCAGUCUGCUAAUUUCUACUAGCUAGGCUAACUGAUUGUUCUGGAACUUUACUUUUACAAGAAUCAGACAUUAUCUACAAUUUCUAACUUUACAGACACCAAUCGACUGUUGAAGAAUUGGAAAAAUGUCAGUUGUGAAAUUCAGCAUGUAACCCCAGGUUUAACCCAUCAACUUGGCCUUUUUCUCUUCCAUUACAAGUACAUGAACUAUAAGUAAGUUUAUCUUUCUUCCUUUUUCCCGAUCUGCAUCCAUCGCAUAACUUGACCAUUUAGACUACUGGCUCGAUCUGAUGAUUUGAUUCUGCAGGCUCGACAAUUGAGCUGAUGAUCGUUAUACUUGUCUCUUUCUCCUAGAACCUUUAAAUAGUCAAAUUUGGCUACGUUUCCAUUCUUUGAAGCAGACCUUUAAGUUCCGGUACAAUAAGUCGGAUGACGUCACAAUGUCGAGAAAGCAAAGGGGAUCUAUGCAAAUGAACUAAAUUCAUGCUGGUUUCAUGAUUGGAGGUUCCCGAUUUAGGUGCGAAGGAAGGAGAAAACUGAGCGCCUCAAAGCAAGGCAAUCAAGUCGCACAAAAAAACAUGUAGAGGGCGUCUUGGUCUGGAGGCUAGAUCUAAGUGACUUCACUAGCGCGAAACUCAUAAGAGUCAUGGAAAUCACAAAUAUAUCGGAUAAAAAUUCACAGAGAUUUAUCAAACGAAACUCAUCAAAUAGGUUUGAGGGGGCUUUAAAUGAUGAAGUUUAUGUGUUUUCCACAAAUUCAAAUUGGUUGACAGGCUUUCAAUGCAAACACUAAAAGUAGGAAACUGCCCCGAUUAGACGGCUCUAUCCUUGUGGAAACGACGACGACGAUGACGAUGACGACAAUAAUGUAGCUUAUUAAAUUUGUAUUAGUAGUACGAGAAGUGCACCUAAAGCGGACGAAUACUUAGGAAAAUAAAAUAAAUGAGAAAACUAUAUAGAUGAGAUAUUAGAAUAUUUAAAUAAUAAAUUACGCUAUUAUCUAAUAGUUUAAGUUUUAAAAAUAAUUAAUAGAGAUUAAAUUUAUAUGGUAUUAGAGUUGGAGAUUUUGAGUUCGAAUUUUUUCAACCCCAUUUGUCUUCCCAAUUAUAUUUCCAUGCACUUAAAAAAAAUACUAAAUAUGAAGGGGGAAUGUUAAAAUAUAUAAAAAAUAAAUUAUAUCAUUAUCUAAUAGUUUAAGUUUUUAGAAUAAUUGAUCGUUAUCUCACAAAAAUUUACUGUAGGAGGAAUAUGUGGAAUCAAUGAUUUGACAUUCUAUCUAUUUUCCUUAAAAAUUAAGUUAAGUGUAAGAAUUUUUUCAAUCAACAUUAAAAUUCAUGAUAAGGUCGCUUGGUUGUGAUAUAAUGUCAUGCACCAUUGAAUUGUUUAAUCAGCUCUCAUCUAAAUGGAUGCAUUUGGUCAGAAAAGACAUCACCGCCUUUAAAAUAUCUCCUGUCUCGAGACGGGAGACAGAAUGAACUUUACCAAACGCGAACAUUGGUGUGAUUUGUCAAGCUUUCAAGCCUUUUUGUCAUUUCGAAUAAUGACGCGUCUCCAAUGCAUACAAUUGACGCAAGAUAACCCGAGGAUUAAGGCAACGCCACUAAGAUUCAAAGCGAGCCGCGUGCUUAUCACUCCAAUAAUUCCUUAUUUAUCGCCAAAGUCUUUGGUAGCCAUCAUCGAAUCAACGCGUGGUAAUGUGCCAUCUCCACAAUGAUUAGGUCUCUCAAUUCAACCAAAAGCAACCCAAUUUCUCUCCUCAAUUUUUUUUUUUAAAAGGAGGAGGGGGAAAAUCUUUUAAAAAGUAUUAUUUAGCCAAUGCCCAAGAUACUAAUCAUGCAAUUAAAUCGGAAAACUUAGGUUUUCAAAAUUAUAAGGUUAUGUUUGAUCGUCUGAAUCCUUAACCGUAAUAGGACUUGAUGGAAUAUGGUAUAUAAUUCAAUAAUUUUGCUAUAUUCUAUCAACUGUUUAAUGAAUCGUAGUAAUAAAAAUGGAUAUUUUCAUUUCUUAUUAUAUUUAUUGUUUGAUAUGAACAACAAACCAAUGUAAAUGAAUCUGAAAAUGCGCCAAUGGAAAUAGUAAGAAUUUCUCAUGAUUCAUUGUUAAAGAAAUCACAAAUGUACAAAUUGAGAGAACAUUUAUCAUACAAUUCAUAAUUAUUGUAUGAUCUAUAUCUUAAAUAGGGAAAGAGCUCAUUGCAGCGUUCUAAAGCCAUAUGUUUGACAAUGACAAGAAAUGUAAACGGACUAUAGCAAUAUCGACUAAGUAGAUUAGCUAGCAAAAGUCAAAUCUAGUAAAAGAGAAAACAUAAUUAUUCAUCUUCGUGAUUCGGAAAAGUAUAGUAUUUUGAUUUUCUUGCCACGUUUGUGAAAUUUCAACAUGAAUUAUAGAUAUAUAUUUAUAUAGAGUAUACACACACACACAUAUAUACAUAUAUAUUAUAGAAUAGAAAGAAAUUCAAAUAUAUAAUAAAAUUGUCCAUUAUUUUUAUUUUGAUUUUUCCUUUUUAAAUGUUAUUUCUAUUUUAAUUUUUAAUUUAGGAAGUUUGUUAUUAAAAAACAAUUUCUUUUACGCCAUAUAUAUAAGAAAUUCUAUCAAUAUUUAUCACACUUAUUCCAUAGGAUAUUUUUAUCCCGACUAAAGUCCCGUUACAGUCGAAUUUAUUUUAUCUUGAGCAAGAACUAGACAUAGGAUUGGAUAUAUUCUAUCCCAAUUGCUAGACGUAUCUUAACUUCUUUCGCUUUACAAAUCAAACACAUCCUGUUGAGCAUUCAUGAAACCACUUCCGUGGAAAAAGGAGAAAGAGGAAAAAGGAAAGAGGAAAGAAAUUUCAAGUCUCCAAUAAGGAAGGGAAGCUUCUUUGUGAUGCCUUAGCGUCGGAAUAUUCCUUAUAAGUACCACCAUCGUGACGCACACCCUUCUUCAUUCUUUUCAAUACCCAUCCUACUCUUCCUUUCGUCCCAUUAACUUCGCAAAAAGGUUCCAUACAUUCUCCGGAAUGGAUAAGCUGUUUCACGGGAUGCUGCAGGCCUUCGACUGCGGCAGCAAGGCAGGCCGCCAGCGCAAGGCGGCCGGGUCCAAGAAGGUCAUCGGAACGGUGGUGCUGAUGAAGAAGUACGUCUUGGACUUCAACGACUUCAACGCGUCGGUCCUCGACACCAUCCACGAGCUGUUGGGCGAGAAGGUCUCUCUGCGACUCGUGAGCGCCGUCCACAGUGAUCCCGGUGAGUGAUGACCCUCUUCCACACGAUAUUCUUGUCGUUCAUUUCUGGAACAAGUUCUUUCGACGGCUUUUCUUGGUACUAGACUGUGCUGUACAUUUCUGUUGACAAGAUCUGAUGAAUGGCAACAAAUUAAGCUGUUCGUCGUCGUGACAGGCGAUCUUCUUCCCCAUAAAGAAAACGCAAUAAUGACGAGUAUUUCCCAUAAUUUGCAAACGUCAAAAUGCAUCGCUCGCGUUUCGACGUCCUAUUAUAAAAAAGAAAGCAUCUUCUUACUUAGAUUUCAAGAAAGCCUAACACGUGCUUCUUCCUUACAAAGAAAAUAAUGAUAUAUCGAAGUGGAUCGCUUGCGUUUCGAAGAUCUGUUAUAAGAAAGAAAACUACUUCUUGCUUAUAUUUCAAGAAAGGCAUCUUCGCUUUACUUGCCGCAUGUUAUUGACAAGAGUAAAGUUGGGCGACUUGUGUUUUAAGCUUUUUGGUUCUGUGGCACGAUACUCUUGCGCGUUCAAUACAAUGAUUCGGAAAUUGGCCAUGCAUCCGAUUCAAUCAACCUAAUCUGUCACAUUCCCUACUGAAUUUAUCUUCUGAAGUUUGAUCUUUUAUGUGCAACUUUAGAGAACAUGUGUAAUCUUGAUGGACUUAGAAAAACAAAUAGAAAUUUUUUUACUGAAAUAUGACAGGUCAAACUUAGUUACCGCAUGUUUGUUGGUAGGAUGACUCCACUAUGCGCGCAUUUAUAGGCAUAGAUAAACAGUAUGUGCCCACAUAUUUUUCGACAAUUCUUGAUAUUUUAAUAGAUGGACCAUGGUAGAUUAAGAGUAAUCAUUAAAUCUUGCAGUUUCAUGUGACAGAAAAUUUGGGUACAUUUGGGUGUUUGCACUAUGGGUAGGAUUCUCUUCUUAUAAUAUAAACGAAAAAAUUAUGUUAAUUCCGAAAAUCUCAAGCCAAGGGGAAAAAAAAGCCAAUUGAAAAACGUAAACGUUCAAACUAAGUUAAGUAUUUUGACUUGAUUUUAAUGUUGACCAUCUGGGCACAAGUUAAUUAGUUCGUAUUUUAGCAACCGCUUCAGGCGCUUUUUCUUUUUCUCUCGACAUACAAUACAUGCAUAUAUGUAUAUGCGCGUGUAUAUAUAUGUAUUAUAUUUAUGCAACAUUUCUAAACUCAAGUAAAUAUGUGUCUCAUCUUUUUUCAUGUUUUUGAAGAAGUGGAUGAAACUAAAUCAGAAUUAUAAAUUGUUUUCCUCUAUCGAGUCCAAAUUUUAAAAUCGACAAAAGUAAAGUGUUCCUAUCUGUUUUGUACUGUUUUGAAUUUUCCACUCACGCUUUAUUUUAUUCUAUUUAAUUUUACUUUUUAAUUAAGAAAAAGCUCAAAUUAUUUUUCGGUUCUCUCUCUCCGGUCCACAUGAGGUGAUUUUCCUCAUGUCAUGUCCUAGUACCACACCACCUAAUCAACCAAUGGUGCAUGGCACUAGCAAUUCUUGUAGUUAAUUUGUGGCUAUUGGCCAACAUAAGCUGUCAUUUGUCAUUUUUAGUUGGGAAUUUAUGCGGGGUAUCGCGAAGAUGAGCUUUCUAAAUCACUUCACUGAGCACAAGCUCGGGUCGUUGCUCUUUCCUUUUGGUUUUUAGCACAAGAUCAGGUAUUGUUUGUUGAAACGGCACCAUGCUUGCGACAGCAAGAAGAUUAUAGAUAACAUAAUGUCAGUGGGAAUGAACUAAAAAUUGGAAACAAAAAGCAAAUGACCUUGCGCUGAUCAUUGAUCAGAUUCAGACCCCUUGCCAUGUUAAAGAUGAACGUCAUUCUCAUUUGCCGGGAUGAAAAGAUCGAAAUCUUUGAAAAUUUUUAUUUCUUUUUCGCGUUCUGUAGAAAACGGUUUGCAGGGGAAAUUGGGAAAGCCUGCAUAUCUUGAAAAAUGGAUCACUACCAUCACUCCCUUAACGGCAGGCGAUUCGGCGUUCAAGGUCACUUUCGAUUGGGACAAGGAGGUGGGAGUUCCGGGGGCGAUCAUCGUACAAAACAACCAUCACAGUCAGUUUUACCUCAAGACGAUCACACUCGAAGAUGUGCCCGGUGAGGGCCGAGUCCACUUUGUCUGCAACUCGUGGGUCUACCCUGCCGACCGAUACAAGAAGGACCGGGUCUUCUUCUCUAACAAGGUUCGAUCACGAUAAUUUGAUUGAUGAAGCUAAGCUGUAGCCGCAAUUUAUGAUUUGCUUCUAGAGUCUCAAUAGGACAAAAUAAAAGACACUGCCUCCGUGUAUGAAGAUUGAAAUCUUGUUUUACAUAUAGUAGUUCUAAAGAAUUAGGGUUCGAUCACGAUAAUUUGAUUGAUGAAGCUAAGCUGUAGCCGCAAUUUAUGAUUUGCUUCUAGAGUCUCAAUAGGACAAAAUAAAAGACACUGCCUCCGAGUAUGAAGAUUGAAAUCUUGUAUUUCAUAUAGGCUUUCCGAUUUCAUUGAAGUGGGGCAUUUCGCUUAGGAAUUGCACUUUAUAUUGGCUGAAGGCAUUUCAGUUUCGGAUUCUGUUCUAUUCUGUCACAUGAAAUAGCAAUAUGAUUGGACAGGGUUCCUUAGGUUGUCUCUAAUAAGAUAGCACGUUAUUGCAGACGUAUCUUCCGAGAGAAACUCCAGCGCCUCUAGUGAAGUACCGAGAGGAAGAGUUAGUUAACUUGAGAGGAGACGGAACGGGAGAGCUUCAGGAGUGGGACAGGGUGUACGACUAUGCUUACUACAACGAUUUGGGCGAUCCAGACAAGGGCACCAAGUAUGCCCGCCCUGUUCUAGGAGGAUCUGCUGAAUAUCCCUAUCCUCGCAGAGGAAGGACCGGUCGACCGCCGAGUGAGACAGGUUAGAUAAUGCACUCAUAUCAUGAAUCUCCAACUUGAUGUGAGAUUAUUAUGGCUUCAUUUUUUGUGACAAAGAUGCUUCAUUUGUAAGUAUAUUUUACUGAAUUUGCACGAUGUUAUCGACAGAUCCAAAUACCGAGAGCAGGCUGCCUCUGCUCAUGAGCCUAAACACAUACGUUCCUAGGGACGAACGGUUUGGCCACCUAAAGAUGUCCGACUUCCUUGCUUAUGCUGUAAAAGCCGUGGGUCAAUUUCUGAAGCCUGAGCUAGAGAGUAUAUGCGACAGCACGCCCAAUGAGUUCGACUACUUCCAGGAUGUGCUCAAUCUCUACGAGGGCGGUAUUAAGCUUCCCGAUGGCCCUUUGCUGGAGAGUCUGAAGGAGCACAUUCCCCUCGAGAUGCUUAAGGAACUCGUCCGGACUGACGGGGAAGGGCUUCUCGAGUACCCCAUGCCUCAAGUGAUCAAAGGUAAUGGAUACAUAUAUAACCUUGAGGCCUUUUUAAUCUGAUUAGUUUGAGGAUGUUUUCCUAACGUUUAGCAAUCAUGCUGUGCAGAAGAUAAGACUGCCUGGAGGACCGAUUUAGAAUUUGGCAGAGAAAUGCUCGCUGGAGUCAACCCUGUCGUGAUUCGCCGUCUCGAGGUAAACAACAAUAUCUUUCAUGUUACAGCUCAAACAAAUUCAGUUAAUAUUAAAAUGAAGUGCGGAAUGGAGUUCCACCAGUUGUCUAGUUGAUAAAACAUUUUUUGUUGAUUUCAGGAAUUCCCUCCGGCAAGCAAGCUAGACCCUAAAAUAUAUGGCAACCAGAGGAGUUCACUAAGGGAAGAGCUAAUUCAGAAGCAAUUGAAUGGAUUGACAGUCGAACAGGUACUGUCAUUGCAUCUCACAUCACUAAGAACGUCCAUGUGCUUGCUUAAAAGAUGAUGGCGAGUUCAUUUAAGUUCAAAUAUCCAAAUUGAAACGAUGCAUAACAAAUGCAGGCUAUCAAGAUGAACAGAUUGUUCAUAUUGGAUCACCAUGACACGAUCAUGCCAUAUCUGAGGCGGAUAAACAUGACUGCCACAAAAAUGUAUGCUACUCGAACACUCCUCUUCUUGAAGGAUGACGGUACCUUGAAGCCGCUGGCAAUAGAGCUUAGCAUGCCACAUCCUGAGGGAGACGAGUUUGGUGCGAUAAGCAAGGUGUACACGCCGGCCGAUCAAGGCGUGGAAGGUUCCAUCUGGCAACUGGCUAAAGCUUAUGUGGCAGUUAACGACGCAGGCUAUCACCAACUCAGCAGCCACUGGUAAAGAUCUCAGAGGAGCAUUCACCUAUAUAAAGAAGGGAAAUUUUUUAUUUAUUUAUUUCCUGCAUAUUGAUAAUUUUCUUCAUUCUUACCGCAGGUUGAAUACUCACGCGGCGAUUGAACCAUUUGUGAUUGCAACAAAUAGACAAUUGAGUGUGCUUCACCCAAUCUACAAGCUUUUGCAUCCCCAUUUCCGCGACACGAUGGAGAUAAAUGCAAUUGCCAGGCAGAUUGUGAUCAAUGCGGGUGGAAUACUGGAGACGACUGUAUUCCCAGCAAAGUAUUCCAUGGAGAUGUCUUCAGCCAUCUACAAGGACUGGAUUUUCCCCGAGCAAGCGCUUCCUACUGACCUCAUCAAGCGGUAAAUUCACUGUUCUAUACAUAUAAAUCAUCCAUAAGACUUCUAUUUAAAAUUGCUUCAAAAAGAAAGAAAAAUCAAGGCCAAUGAAGAUUGCGCAAAUGAACUUGGAAUAGCUGAGGCCCGUGCCGAGAUACAUAUCAAUACAGCUAUCGUUUGUUUUACUUGAAUUAUUCUGAUAGACUGAGUGACGAAAAAAUUCUACCUUUUCUUGUCUUCAGGGGAGUCGCUGUAGAAGAUGCGAACUCCCCGCAUGGCCUCCGCCUAUUGAUCGAGGACUACCCCUAUGCGGUAGAUGGGCUCGAGAUCUGGUCCGCGAUCAAGACGUGGGUUGAGGACUACUGCUCCUUUUAUUACAAGAGCGACCAGACGGUACAGGAGGAUGAGGAACUCCAAUCCUGGUGGAGGGAACUCGUGGAGGAGGGACACGGCGACAAGAAGGGUGAGCCCUGGUGGCCUAAAAUGCAGACGGUGAAGGACCUAACAGAGAUAUGUACGAUCACCAUCUGGAUCGCGUCUGCUCUCCAUGCGGCUGUGAACUUCGGGCAAUACCCUUAUGCAGGGUACCUCCCGAACCGCCCCACCCUCAGCCGUCGCUAUAUGCCCGAGGAAGGUACUCCCGAAUUC